rnacentral:ribozyme from 1 species
AAGAAAUAAGAUCAGAAAAAGAACAAGAAAAAGGAAAAGAAAAAGAACAAGAAAAAGAAAUUUCUCUCAUCCGCAAUCAACACCUUCCUCUUCCCCCUUCACUUUUGUCUUCUCUCACCUCUCUCGCUUCUUCUCUUUUUC